rnacentral:tRNA from 1 species
GGGGGCGUAACUCAGUGGUAGUGUCUGCUUCGCAAGCUGAAAGUCCUAGGUUCAAAUCCCAGCACCUCCA